rnacentral:rRNA from 1 species
UACGGAGGGUGCAAGCGUUAUCCGGAAUCAUUGGGUUUAAAGGGUCCGUAGGCGGGCUAAUAAGUCAGAGGUGAAAUCCCACAGCUUAACUGUGGCACUGCCUUUGAUACUGGUUAUCUUGAGUUAUUAUGAAGUAGUUAGAAUAUGUAGUGUAGCGGUGAAAUGCAUAGAUAUUACACAGAAUACCGAUUGCGAAGGCAGUCUACUACGAAUGUACUGACGCUGAUGGACGAAAGCGUGGGUAGCGAACAGG